rnacentral:rRNA from 1 species
CAUUACCAGUAUUAGAGGCACUGCCUGCCCAGUGACAUUAGUUAAACGGCCGCGGUAUCCUGACCGUGCAAAGGUAGCAUAAUCAUUUGUUCCUUAAUUAGGGACUUGUAUGAACGGCCUCACGAGGGUUUAACUGUCUCUUACUUUCAAUCAGUGAAAUUGACCUUCCCGUGAAGAGGCGGGAAUACAAAAAUAAGACGAGAAGACCCUAUGGAGCUUAAAUCAAUAUGUUCAACAGAAUUUAAUUACAGUCCAAUAGGAAUAAAGAUAUUCUAACUGAACAAUAAAUUUUGGUUGGGGUGACCUCGGAGUAUAACAUAACCUCCGAGCAAUUUAACCAAGACUUACCAGUCAAGGUUAUAUAACUUAUUGAUCCAAUCUUAUUGAUCAACGAAACAAGUUACCCUAGGGAUAACAGCGCAAUCCUAUUUAAGAGUUCAUAUCGACAAUAGGGUUUACGACCUCGAUGUUGGAUCAGGACACCCAAAUGGUGCAGCAGCUAUU